rnacentral:rRNA from 1 species
CUACGGGACGCUGCAGUGAGGAAUAUUGCACAAUGGGGGGAACCCUGAUGCAGCAACGCCGCGUGGAGGAUGACGCAUUUCGGUGUGUAAACUCCUUUUAUAUGUCAAGAAAAUGACGGUAGCAUAUGAAUAAGCACCGGCUAACUCCGUGCCAGCAGCCGCGGUAAUACGGAGGGUGCAAGCGUUACUCGGAAUCACUGGGCGUAAAGGACGCGUAGGCGGGUUGGAAAGUCAGGUGUGAAAUCCUACGGCUUAACUGUAGAACUGCACUUGAAACUUCUAAUCUAGAGUAUGGGAGGGGGAGAUGGAAUUAGUGGUGUAGGGGUAAAAUCCGUAGAUAUCACUAGGAAUACCUAAAGCGAAGGCGAUCUCCUGGAACAUUACUGACGCUAAGGCGUGAAAGCGUGGGGAGCAAACAGGAUUAAAUACCCCCGUAGUC